CCUACGGGUGGCAGCAGUGAGGAAUAUUGGUCAAUGGGCGUAAGCCUGAAUCAGCCAAGUCGCGUGAGGGAUGAAGGUUCUCUGGAUCGUAAACCUCUUUUAUAAGGGAAUAAAGUGUGGGACGUGUCCUAUUUUGUAUGUACCUUAUGAAUAAGGAGCGGCUAACUCCGUGCCAGCAGCCGCGGUAAUACGGAGGAUCCGAGCGUUAUCCGGAUUUAUUGGGUUUAAGGGGUUCGUAGGCGGGCUUUUAAGUCAGCGGUGAAAGUCUGUGGCUCAACCAUAGAAUUGCCGUUGAAACUGGGGGGCUUGAGUAUGUGUGAGGCAGGCGGAAUGCGUGGUGUAGCGGUGAAAUGCUUAGAUAUCAAGAAGAACCCCGAUUGCGAAGGCAGCCUGCCAGGCCAUGACUGACGCUGAUGCACGAAAGCGUGGGGAUCAAACAGGAUUAGAUACCCUGGUAGUC
rnacentral:rRNA from 1 species